rnacentral:lncRNA from 1 species
GGGGGCUAGAUUUGACUCCUCAGCAAAACAGUUCCCUUGAGAAUGAAAAACAAACCAUUUUAGACAAUAGAUUGGGUGGUGACCUGUUCAUAGAGUGUCCCCUGGGAGAAGACCAUGGGGUGGGGGGGGGACACAAAGGAGAAAACUCACAAUUGAUUACCACCAUCCAAAACAUUUGUAGUCCAGUUAAGGGGGAUAUGAGAAGCAGAUGAAGAAAACAUUAAAAGGAUCAUGUGGAAGUUCCCCGGCUCAGGGAUUGAACCCAGGCUUCUAGCAGUGAUCCAGGCCACUGCAGUAACACCGUCAGAUCCUUGACCUGAUGCACCACAAGGGAAUUCCUGUAGUCAGAUUUUUUGAGGGUGAAUUUUUUUGGUGAUGGGAUUCUAGUUAGAAAAAAGUUCUGACUAGCGUGGGUGUGGAUAGAAAGAGGGAAGCUUACUCCAAAUCCCGGGGUGGGAAAAUGGGUAAAUAAAGGAGACAGGCCUUUCUAGGAAUAGAGACAAGGCUAAAGGCCAAAGGAGGAAAGCGCCUCUUCCAGCCCUGACAGCGCCUUCCCUUCCCCAGUCUGGCUCCUGCUCCGCCUGCUGCCCCCACCCCGCCAGGCUCCACGCUGGGGAAGGGGAGCCGACUCUGGAGCCCGGUGGCUCAUUCAUCUCCUGAUAAACUGUUUAUCUGAGUUUUAACGAGGGCGCCUCUCUUCCAGCCCUGGAGACAGAAGCCUCCUCAUGUUUAGCCUGCCCUGAUGUGGGGGGCCUGGGGGUGGGUGGGGGCGAUGCCGACAGGCCGUCUUCUGCCCCUGCCUUGCCAGUGUGUGCUGCCUCUGCCUUGGCCUUUCAGCUCUCCCUGGCUUCGUCUUGCCUUUCUUGGGCUGGGGUCUGGGUCUGGCUGGACCUGAGGUUUUCAUCCAGAAAGGGAAUCGUUUCAUCAUUUCUCUCCAUUCAUUGCUUAACACACGUACAGGCACAGGCGCACACUCCCUCUGCAAAUACAGGCAUACUACAUACCUUUAAAAAUCAGACACAACUUGCUUCUGAGUUGUGGACUGUUACCAUAUGUGACCCAGUAUUUCAAAAGGAAAAUAAAUGGAAUGCUACA